rnacentral:lncRNA from 1 species
GCUCACAACACUCUAGGAAGCUAUGGGAGGUGAGGCCCGUAGUGGAGAAGAAUUGAAGGAGAAAAACGGAGGGCUGUUCUGGUGUGGCGCAUUUAUGGGGUUAAGUGGCAUGGGAUUUCUGUUUCUGAUAGUAAAUAGACGGGCUCACUUUGUUACCCCGGCUGGAGUGCGGUGUCACGAUCUCGGCUCACUGUAACCUCCACCUCCCAGGUUCAAGCAUUCCUCCUGUCUCAGCUCUCCAAGUGGCUGGGACUACAGUGAGAAUCAGAGCGUCUACUGCACCUUUCAGAUGACCGGGUGCCGUGGCUCAACACCUAUAAUCCCAGCACUUGGGAUGGGAGGCUAAGCAGGUAGCAUCUAAAGGAACUGGUUUAAAUCCUAAUGCCAAAGUAUGGCAAGAAAUUGCUCCUGGAAAUACUGAUGCCACCCCAGUAACUCAUGGAACUGAAAGCUCUUGGCAUGAAAUAGCAGCUACAUCAGGUGCUCAUCCUGAGGGUAAUGCAGAGCUCUCAGAAGAUAUAUGUAAAGAAUAUGAAGUAAUGUAUUCUUCAUCUUGUGAAACCACAAGAAAUACUACAGGCAUUGAAGAAUCAACUGAUGGGAUGAUUUUAGGACCAGAAGAUCUGAGUUACCAAAUAUAUGAUGUUUCCGGAGAAAGCAAUUCAGCAGUUUCUACAGAAGACCUAAAAGAAUGUCUGAAGAAACAAUUAGAAUUCUGUUUU